GUACCAAUAAGAACGUUCUUAAAUUCUACCAUGAAACACAAGAUGAUUGUCUUCUGUAUAGUCCUGAUUCUCAUACGUGAUUCAGGCUCCUCUCUCAGUGACAAAGUCCAACAGACUCCAGCUGACAUGUACCACCAACCAGGAGAAACAGCCAAAAUAAACUGUUCACACAGUAUUGAGAACUAUGACCGAAUCCUCUGGUACAAGCAAAUGAAGGAUGGACAAUUGCAGCUCCUGGGAUACAUGAUAGUAAACAAUGGAUUUCCAGAGAAUGGAGUGGACGUGAGGAUAGAAGGGAAUGCAGAUAAAGACCAGACCUGCACAUUAACAACUGAAAGGCUGAGCAGCAGUGCAGUGUACUUCUGUGCUGCUAGAUUACACAGUGCUACACAUCACUGCUGUUCAACCAAACAGACCACCGCCAAGGCAACCGCACUCCCCAAUGGCAGCAACUUUCCCGAGCAUGACAACACACCCCAUCACAUCAUGAAAACUGCUCAGGAUUGGUUAAAGGAACACGGCGAACAGUCCAAGGCAUUGACUUGGUCUCCAAGCUCCCCACAUCCCAAUCCAAUUGACCAUCUGCUCGAUGCGCCAGAACCAGCACGAGCCACAGAGGCCCACCCCAACACACAACACCCAAACUACCCACUGCCAACAUCUCGGUGCUGA